rnacentral:rRNA from 1 species
UAAGAAGACUUACCCAGUCUAUGGCCUGAACGCGCCUGAUCUCAUCUGAUCUCGGAACUAAGCAGGGUUGGGCCUGGUUAGUACUUAGAUGGAAGAAGAGUUACCCAGGGCAUUUUUCUAC